UUUUGACUCUUCGUUUUAUUUGAAAUAUUUUUGCGAUUAAUAGUUUUAUUGUUAGGUAAAAGAUGAAUAGUAUUUUAUACGUGACUAAUUUUUUAAAGUUUUUUUAAAAAAAUUUCAAAUAAAACAAAUGAUCAAAG
rnacentral:pre_miRNA from 1 species